rnacentral:rRNA from 1 species
CCUACGGGAGGCAGCAGUGAGGAAUAUUGGUCAAUGGGCGGAAGCCUGAACCAGCCAAGUAGCGUGCAGGAUGACGGCCCUACGGGUUGUAAACUGCUUUUAUACGGGAAUAACGCGCCUUACGUGUAGGGCUUUGCAUGUACCGUAUGAAUAAGGACCGGCUAAUUCCGUGCCAGCAGCCGCGGUAAUACGGAAGGUCCGGGCGUUAUCCGGAUUUAUUGGGUUUAAAGGGAGCGUAGGCCGGUGGUCAAGCGUGCUGUGAAAUGUUCGGGCUCAACCCGGGCCUUGCAGCGCGGACUGGCAUGCUUGAGUCCGCGGAAGGCAGGCGGAAUUCGUCGUGUAGCGGUGAAAUGCUUAGAUAUGACGAAGAACCCCGAUUGCGAAGGCAGCUUGCUGCAGCGGAACUGACGCUGAUGCUCGAAAGCGCGGGUAUCGAACAGGAUUAGAUACCCCUGUAGUC